AUUGAACGCUGGCGGCAUGCCUUACACAUGCAAGUCGAACGGCAGCGCGGGAGCAAUCCUGGCGGCGAGUGGCGAACGGGUGAGUAAUACAUCGGAACGUGCCCAAUCGUGGGGGAUAACGCAGCGAAAGCUGUGCUAAUACCGCGUACGAUCUACGGAUGAAAGCAGGGGAUCGCAAGACCUUGCGCGAAUGGAGCGGCCGAUGGCAGAUUAGGUAGUUGGUGAGGUAAAGGCUCACCAAGCCUUCGAUCUGUAGCUGGUCUGAGAGGACGACCAGCCACACUGGGACUGAGACACGGCCCAGACUCCUACGGGAGGCAGCAGUGGGGAAUUUUGGACAAUGGGCGAAAGCCUGAUCCAGCCAUGCCGCGUGCAGGAUGAAGGCCUUCGGGUUGUAAACUGCUUUUGUACGGAACGAAACGGUCUUUUCUAAUAAAGAGGGCUAAUGACGGUACCGUAAGAAUAAGCACCGGCUAACUACGUG
rnacentral:rRNA from 1 species